rnacentral:tRNA from 2 species
GGGCGCGUAGCUCAGUUGGCAGAGCAACAGACUUUUAAUCUGUGGGUCGAAGGUUCGAUUCCUUCCGCGCUCA